CUGGUUUAAUGGAAGUACAGGCAUCAAAUUUAUACCAUCAGUAAACUCCUCCUCUGUCCUUAAGAUAUAAUUGAGUCAGGAACUGUACAAACAAUUAUCUCCAGGGUAAAAAAAAAGCAUAAUAAUUCUUGAACACCCUAAAAAUAUCCCCAAAAUACAUGGAAACCCCACAAAAGUCACAUCCCCGGAUAGCAUGGAUCGGGGCGAACAAUAUAUCCAAAAAUCACCCAGAUCCGUUUGGUAGUUUUUGAUCGCCAUCGCUGGGAAGUUCUGACGGUUCUGCCAUGAGGUUGAGCCCAAAAUAGUUCCAGGGAAGUUGUGGCAAGAGCCGGUCUCCGCUCGUGGGGUUUUGUAAGAAAACCACAUAAGUUAGACGAAAGCUGAUUCAUGUAGAAUGUUCCAUGUGUUCGGUAGUCUGUAAUUCCCAUUACCGUUCGUGAAGCUGUAGGGGACAUGCCGUAGGUCCAUGAUGACCGGUGUUCGCGGGCGUGCCUUGUCGAAAUCAGUUUCAGGCACUCGACGACCAAGUCCUGCUGCCAGCGUUUGGGAGACAAAAUGGCCACCAUCCAUUGUUCCAUGUUCUAAUUGGUCUCUGGGGUGGCCUCGGUUUAGGAACUGGACAAAAUAAACAAAAUGCAAUUUCACAUGAAUCUAGUUCUGCGAAAGAAGCCGAAAGUGAUGGGGAUAUUUCUUCACAAGGAUAACAAAU